rnacentral:rRNA from 1 species
ACAAGACGGUGGAUGAUGUGGUUUAAUUCGAUGCAACGCGAAAACCUUACCACCUUUGACAUGUACGGUAAUCCUUUAGAGAUAGAGGAGUGCUCGAAAGAGAGCCGUAACACAGGUGCUGCAUGGCUGUCGUCAGCUCGUGUCGUGAGAUGUUGGGUUAAGUCCCGCAACGAGCGCAACCCUUGUCAUUAGUUGCUACAUUCAGUUGGGGCACUCUAAUGAGACUGCCGGUGACAAACCGGAGGAAGGUGGGGAUGACGUCAAGUCCUCAUGGCCCUUAUAGGUGGGGCUACACACGUCAUACAAUGGAUGGUACAAAGGGUCGCCAACCCGCGAGGGGGAGCCAAUCCCAUAAAGCCAUUCGUAGUCCGGAUCGCAGUCUGCAACUCGACUGCGUGAAGUCGGAAUCGCUAGUAAUCGUGAAUCAGAAUGUCACGGUGAAUACGUUCCCGGGCCUU